rnacentral:rRNA from 1 species
UACGGAAGGCAGCAGUGGGGAAUAUUGCACAAUGGGCGCAAGCCUGAUGCAGCCAUGCCGCGCGUAUGAAAAAGGCCUUCGGGUUGUAAAGUACUUUCAGUCGUGAGGAAGGUGUUAAGGUUAAUAACCUUAGCAAUUGACGUUAGCGACAGAAGAAGCACCGGCUAACUCCGUGCCAGCAGCCGCGGUAAUACGGAGGGUGCGAGCGUUAAUCGGAAUUACUGGGCGUAAAGGGCACGCAGGCGGUUAAUUAAGUUGGAUGUGAAAUCCCCGGGCUUAACCUGGGAAUGGCAUUCAAGACUGGUUAGCUAGAGUCUUGUAGAGGGGGUAGAAUUCCAUGUGUAGCGGUGAAAUGCGUAGAGAUGUGGAGGAAUACCGGUGGCGAAGGCGGCCCCUGGACAAAGACUGACGCUCAUGUGCGAAAGCGUGGGGAGCAAACAGGGAUUAGAUACC